rnacentral:rRNA from 1 species
ACUGCUCAGUAACACGUGGAUAACCUGCCCUGCGGUGGGAAAUAACCCCGGGAAACUGGGGAUAAUGUCCCAUAGGCUACGGAUGCUGGAAUGCUCUGUAGCUCAAAGAUUUAUCGCCACAGGAUGGGUCUGCGGCCGAUUAGGUAGUUGUUGGGGUAACGGCCCAACAAGCCUUUGAUCGGUACGGGUUGUGGGAGCAAGAGCCCGGAGAUGGAUUCUGAGACACGAAUCCAGGCCCUACGGGGCGCAGCAGGCGCGAAAACUUUACAAUGCGGGAAACCGUGAUAAGGGAACUCCGAGUGUCCGUAAAUGCGGACUGUCCGUAUGUUUAAAAAGCAUGCGAAGAAAGGGCCGGGCAAGACCGGUGCCAGCCGCCGCGGUAAUACCGGCGGCUCGAGUGGUGGCCACUAUUACUGGGCUUAAAGCGUUCGUAGCUGGGUCGUUAAGUCUCUUGGGAAAUCUACCGGCUUAACCGAUAGGCGUCCAAGGGAUACUGGCGAUCUAGGGACCGGGAGAGGUGAGGGGUACUUCAGGGGUAGGAGUGAAAUCCUGUAAUCCUUGGGGGACCACCUGUGGCGUAGGCGCCUCACCAGAACGGCUCCGACAGUGAGGGACGAAAGCUGGGGGAGCAAACCGGAUUAGAUACCCGGGUAGUCCCAGCCGUAAACGAUGCGCGUUAGGUGUAUCGAUGACCACGAGUCAUCGAGGUGCCGAAGGGAAACCGUGAAACGCGCCGCCUGGGAAGUACGGUCGCAAGGCUGAAACUUAAAGGAAUUGGCGGGGGAGCA